rnacentral:rRNA from 1 species
AGAGUUUGAUCCUGGCUCAGAUUGAACGCUGGCGGCAGGCCUAACACAUGCAAGUCGAGCGGAAACGAGUUAUCUGAACCUUCGGGGAACGAUAACGGCGUCGAGCGGCGGACGGGUGAGUAAUGCCUAGGAAAUUGCCCUGAUGUGGGGGAUAACCAUUGGAAACGAUGGCUAAUACCGCAUGAUGCCUACGGGCCAAAGAGGGGGACCUUCGGGCCUCUCGCGUCAGGAUAUGCCUAGGUGGGAUUAGCUAGUUGGUGAGGUAAGGGCUCACCAAGGCGACGAUCCCUAGCUGGUCUGAGAGGAUGAUCAGCCACACUGGAACUGAGACACGGUCCAGACUCCUACGGGAGGCAGCAGUGGGGAAUAUUGCACAAUGGGCGCAAGCCUGAUGCAGCCAUGCCGCGUGUGUGAAGAAGGCCUUCGGGUUGUAAAGCACUUUCAGUCGUGAGGAAGGUAGUGUAGUUAAUAGCUGCAUUAUUUGACGUUAGCGACAGAAGAAGCACCGGCUAACUCCGUGCCAGCAGCCGCGGUAAUACGGAGGGUGCGAGCGUUAAUCGGAAUUACUGGGCGUAAAGCGCAUGCAGGUGGUUUGUUAAGUCAGAUGUGAAAGCCCGGGGCUCAACCUCGGAAUAGCAUUUGAAACUGGCAGACUAGAGUACUGUAGAGGGGGGUAGAAUUUCAGGUGUAGCGGUGAAAUGCGUAGAGAUCUGAAGGAAUACCGGUGGCGAAGGCGGCCCCCUGGACAGAUACUGACACUCAGAUGCGAAGGCGUGGGGAGCAAACAGGAUUAGAUACCCUGGUAGUCCACGCCGUAAACGAUGUCUACUUGGAGGUUGUGGCCUUGAGCCGUGGCUUUCGGAGCUAACGCGUUAAGUAGACCGCCUGGGGAGUACGGUCGCAAGAUUAAAACUCAAAUGAAUUGACGGGGGCCCGCACAAGCGGUGGAGCAUGUGGUUUAAUUCGAUGCAACGCGAAGAACCUUACCUACUCUUGACAUCCAGAGAACUUUCCAGAGAUGGAUUGGUGCCUUCGGGAACUCUGAGACAGGUGCUGCAUGGCUGUCGUCAGCUCGUGUUGUGAAAUGUUGGGUUAAGUCCCGCAACGAGCGCAACCCUUAUCCUUGUUUGCCAGCGAGUAAUGUCGGGAACUCCAGGGAGACUGCCGGUGAUAAACCGGAGGAAGGUGGGGACGACGUCAAGUCAUCAUGGCCCUUACGAGUAGGGCUACACACGUGCUACAAUGGCGCAUACAGAGGGCGGCCAACUUGCGAAAGUGAGCGAAUCCCAAAAAGUGCGUCGUAGUCCGGAUUGGAGUCUGCAACUCGACUCCAUGAAGUCGGAAUCGCUAGUAAUCGUGGAUCAGAAUGCCACGGUGAAUACGUUCCCGGGCCUUGUACACACCGCCCGUCACACCAUGGGAGUGGGCUGCAAAAGAAGUAGGUAGUUUAACCUUCGGGGGGACGCUUACCACUUUGUGGUUCAUGACUGGGGUGAAGUCGUAACAAGGUAGCCA